CAUAAACUGGAAUGAUACACUAAAACUGGAAUGAUCAGAGAAGAUUAACAUGGCUCCCGAACAAGGAUGACACACAUAUUCAUGAAGCAUUCCAUAUUUUU
ensembl:snRNA U6 U6 spliceosomal RNA